AUGCUGGCAAGAGCAUCCUGUCUGGUGCACAGAUCAACAAGGCCUAUGGUGUCAUCACUUCCGUGUCUCUACACUUCCGUGUCUACACUUCCAAGAAAGGGCUUUGGGAUGGAGAUGCACUAUGGCAGUUGUGCCAACAUAUCUCAUCAGCCACCUGGUGGAAGGGACUUUGUGGAUCUGAGGCUCUUUCCCCUGUUGCAUCCAUCAUCCACCAAAUCCCACCAACAUCAGCCACCUCAGAGCACAACUGGUCCUUGUUUGGGAACGGGAACACACAGGGGAACACACACGGGCACACACACACACGGGAACACACGGGAACACACACACGGGAACACACGGGAACACACACACACGGGAACACACACACACGGGAACACACACACAUGGGAACAUACGGGAACACACACACGGGAACACACACGAACACACGGGAACACACACACACACGGGAACACACACACACGGGAACACACACACACACGGGAACACACACACACGGGAACACACACACACGGGAACACACACACACGGGAACACACACACAGGAACACACACACACAGGAACACACACACACGGGAACACACACACACACGGGAACACACACAAACACGGGAACACAAGGGCACACACGGGAACACACACACACACACACACGGGAACACACACACACACACACGGGAACACACACACACGGGAACACACACGGGAACACACACACACGGGAACACACACACACACACACGGGAACACACACACACGGGAACACACACACACACAGGAACACACACACACAGGAACACACACGGGCACACACACACACGGGCACACACACACACGGGCACACACACACACACGGGCACACCAGGCUGACUAAUACAAGGGUUGAAAAAUUGGUGGGCAUCUGGGCAAAAUUGAGGCUUUUUGAGCCUGACAAUGAGCCAUCCUCAACAAGGUUGAAAAGUGACAGUGAAGAUGAGGCCUCAGAGUCUGAUGUUCAAGAGGUGGACAUUAAGGGGGUUCAGGGAGAAGACAAGGAAGCCUGA
rnacentral:lncRNA from 1 species